rnacentral:rRNA from 1 species
AAAAGUCGUAACAAGGUCUCCGUUGGUGAACCAGCGGAGGGAUCAUUACAGAGUUUCAAAACUCCCAAACCAUCGUGAACGUUACCUACAUCGUUGCUUCGGCGGGUGGCGGGCUUCGGCCCUGCCCUCGGCCCCUCUCGGGGGCCCGCCGGAGGUACACCAAACUCUUGAAUUUACAUGGCCUCUCUGAGUCUUCUGUACUGAAUAAGUCAAAACUUUCAACAACGGAUCUCUUGGUUCUGGCAUCGAUGAAGAACGCAGCGAAAUGCGAUAAGUAAUGUGAAUUGCAGAAUUCAGUGAAUCAUCGAAUCUUUGAACGCACAUUGCGCCCGCCAGUAUUCUGGCGGGCAUGCCUGUCCGAGCGUCAUUUCAACCAUCAAGCCCCCGGCUUGUGUUGGGGACCUGCGGCACACCCGCAGGCCCUGAAAACCAGUGGCGGGCUCGCUGUCCACACCGAGCGUAGUAGCAUAUCUUUGUCUCGCUCAGGGCGUGCGGCGGGUUCCGGCCGUGAAACCCACCUUCUCGAAGGUACCCAAAGGUUGACCUCGGAUCAGGUAGGAAGACCCGCUGAACUUAAGCAUAUCAAUAA